rnacentral:rRNA from 1 species
AUUGAACGCUGGCGGCAUGCUUUACACAUGCAAGUCGAACGGUAACAGGCCGCAAGGUGCUGGCGAGUGGCGAACGGGUGAGUAAUGCAUCGGAACGUGCCCAGUCGUGGGGGAUAACGCAGCGAAAGCUGCGCUAAUACCGCAUACGAUCUCUGGAUGAAAGCGGGGGACCGAAAGGCCUCGCGCGAUUGGAGCGGCCGAUGUCAGAUUAGGUAGUUGGUGGGGUAAAGGCCCACCAAGCCAACGAUCUGUAGCUGGUCUGAGAGGACGACCAGCCACACUGGGACUGAGACACGGCCCAGACUCCUACGGGAGGCAGCAGUGGGGAAUUUUGGACAAUGGGCGCAAGCCUGAUCCAGCCAUGCCGCGUGCAGGAUGAAGGCCUUCGGGUUGUAAACUGCUUUUGUACGGAACGAAAAGCUCUGGACUAAUACUCUGGGGUCAUGACGGUACCGUAAGAAUAAGCACCGGCUAACUACGUGCCAGCCGCCGCCGUAA